UACGGAGGGUGCAAGCGUUAUCCGGAUUCACUGGGUUUAAAGGGUGCGUAGGUGGGCAGGUAAGUCAGUGGUGAAAUCCUUGAGCUUAACUCGAGAACUGCCAUUGAUACUAUCUGUCUUGAAUGUUGUGGAGGUGAGCGGAAUAUGUCAUGUAGCGGUGAAAUGCUUAGAUAUGACAUAGAACAUCUAUUGCGAAGGCAGCUCACUACGCAAAUAUUGACACUGAGGCACGAAAGCGUGGGGAUCAAACAUG
rnacentral:rRNA from 1 species